rnacentral:rRNA from 1 species
CCAGACUCCUACGGGAGGCAGCAGUGGGGAAUAUUGCACAAUGGGGGAAACCCUGAUGCAGCAACGCCGCGUGAGUGAGGAAGUAUUUCGGUAUGUAAAGCUCUAUCAGCAGGGAAUAGAAAAGAAGGUACCUGAAAAAGAAGCCCCGGCUAACUACGUGCCAGCAGCCGCGGUAAUACGUAGGGGGCAAGCGUUAUCCGGAUUUACUGGGUGUAAAGGGAGCGUAGACGGCGAUGCAAGCCAGAUGUGAAAGCCCGGGGCUCAACCCCGGGACUGCAUUUGGAACUGUGUGGCUGGAGUGUCGGAGAGGCAGGCGGAAUUCCUAGUGUAGCGGUGAAAUGCGUAGAUAUUAGGAGGAACACCAGUGGCGAAGGCGGCCUGCUGGACGACAACUGACGGUGAGGCGCGAAAGCGUGGGGAGCAAACAGGAUUAGAUACCCGCGUAUG